rnacentral:rRNA from 1 species
AGUGAACGCUGGCGGCGUGCUUAACACAUGCAAGUCGAACGAGAACGGGUUAUAGCUUGCUAUAAUUGUCAGCUAAGUGGCGCACGGGUGAGUAAUGUAUAGGUAAUAUGCCUCUUACUAAGGGAUAACAAAUGGAAACGUUUGCUAAUACCUUAUACUCCUUAUUAACAGAAGUUAAUAAGGGAAAGAUUUAUUGGUAAGAGAUUAGCCUGUAUUGUAUCAGUUAGUUGGCGGGGUAAUGGCCUACCAAGACUAUGACACAUAACUGGUUUGAGAGGAUGAUCAGUCACACUGGAACUGAGACACGGUCCAGACUCCUACGGGAGGCAGCAGUGGGGAAUAUUGCACAAUGGACGAAAGUCUGAUGCAGCAACGCCGCGUGGAGGAUGACACAUUUCGGUGCGUAAACUCCUUUUAUAUGAGAAGAUAAUGACGGUAUUAUAUGAAUAAGCACCGGCUAACUCCGUGCCAGCAGCCGCCGUAA